GUCAGAGAUUAAACCGCUCGGAGCGGUGGCCAGGCCACGCCCGCCCUGGCCGUGGUCCAGCCUUGCUCAUGAGGGGGAAGAAGAAGAAGCGGAACCGUGAGAGCCGAGCAGCCCGCGUCGCCGCGACUCUCUCGCUUUUGCAGCGCGGCGACGUCCAUCUCGCCGACCUGGAUCCGCUCCACUUCCAGCGAUCUCCUCUCUGCAUGUUAAUUGAAAUCCUGCCGAUGUGGUGCUUAAUAUAUAUUGAUAUAAAUAAAACAAACAAGUGGGCUCCAUUCGGAGUCAACGCGCAUCGCCGCACUGCUGGAAGUGUACCCAAGGACAGCUUAACGGCGCCAUAAAUCAAAGAGUCCGUCCCGAGGCAGACGGUCCCGGCUGAUGUGACAUUAGCCGGCCGAUUAAAAGGACGAGAGCGCGAGCGCCGCCGCCG